GAGUUGCAAGAUUGUGACUACCAAGGCUUCACGUGUCGCACGCGCCUGCGAGCGGCCGGUUCGUCAUCGGCUCCCCAGGAACACGAGCGUUUUGAGGGGCGGGCAAAACUCCACGAUCAAUAGGUGAACAAGAACAAAACGCUCCGUUCACCUGGGGGCAGCAGACGCGGCCCUGGGAUAGGUUUUCUGCAGUCGCACCAUUUGAUUCAGCCAUAAGGAUCAGGCUUUCGAGACCAACUGACGGACAGCCAAGCCCCCUUAUCUCAGACCAUGCACAACCAGAGCUUUCUGCCUCACGUAAACACUUGAAAAUCGAAAUCGGUAGUUUAUCUGAGCUUAGCAGGUUUAUAUGAAAGUAUUCUGACUACCUGAAGGCACAAGGUGGAGUCUUUUUUAACAUGUGUGGCCUUUACAGAGUUCACUUGCUUUGUGUGUGCGAGACGGACAUGGGGACAGGGUUUUGUGCAUUUAUUUUUAGUUUAGUUGCGCCUUUCUUGAAUUGGUUGUGGUAGUAUUUUUUUUGUUCCUAAAUCAAUAAAAUUGUUUAGAAAGUGCAGUAUGAUCAGAAAUCGAUACGCUUCAGCUACUAACAGAUAUGAGACAGGGAGCACUUGUGUAAGUACUUCAGCAAAUAAAGUUUGUCAUCCCUCA